rnacentral:rRNA from 1 species
UACAGAGGUUACAAGCAUUGUCCGGAAUCACUGGGCGUAAAGGGUGCGUAGGUGGCGGGGUAAGUCGGAUGUGAAAUCUCGGGGCUCAACCUCGAAGCUGCAUUCGAUACUGCCUUGCUAGAGUACUGGAGAGGAGAUCGGAAUUUACGGUGUAGCAGUGAAAUGCGUAGAUAUCGUAAGGAAGACCAGUGGCGAAGGCGGAUCUCUGGACAGUUACUGACACUGAGGCACGAAGGCCAGGGGAGCAAACGGG